CCGGAUACUUUGAACUUCGCGCAGGCGCGGGUGGCCGUGGACGGGUGGCGUCCCUGACCGCUGCGAAUUUGAGGAGCCUCAGAAGAAAUAUAAUGUCUCAGGAAGGUGGUUACGGGAGGUGGACGAUAUCCAGCAGUGAUGAGAGUGAGGAGGAAAAGCCCAAACCGGACAAGCCAUCUACUUCUCUUGUUGUCCAUGCUGGGCAGGGAGUAGUGUGUGAGCCAAGGUACACCUGUUCCGAGGCUCGGAAAGCCGCCCACCGGAGGAAGAUGUCACCUGUGAAAUUCAGCAACACAGAUGCAGUUUCCGAAGUGUUACCUCCCAAAAGGCAGAAGAGUGGCUCCCAGGAAGACCUAGGUUGGUGUCUCUCCAGCAGUGACGAUGAGCUGCCACCACAGACGCAGCAGAAGCCAGCUGAGAAAGUGGCCGUCAAGGAGGAGAGAAGCACCUCCUCUCCCAAAGAUGAUGCUGCCCCGAGAGCUGGAAAUCACGUCCACCACGAGCUCAGCAAGGAGGAAGACGAGUACGAGACAUCAGGGGAAGGCCAGGACAUUUGGGACAUGCUGGAUAAAGGGAACCCCUUCCAAUUUUACCUCACUAGAGUCUCAGGAAUUAAGCCAAAGUAUAAUUCUGGCGCCCUCCACAUCAAGGAUAUUUUAUCUCCUCUGUUUGGGACCCUUGUGUCUUCAGCACAGUUUAACUACUGCUUUGAUGUGGACUGGCUCAUAAAACAGUACCCACCAGAGUUCAGGAAGAAACCAAUCCUGCUUGUGCAUGGCGAUAAACGAGAAGCCAAGGCUCACUUACACGCCGAGGCAAAGCCUUAUGGAAACAUUUCCCUUUGCCAGGCAAAGCUGGAAAUUGCAUUUGGAACACACCACACGAAGAUGAUGCUACUGCUGUAUGAAGAAGGCCUCCGGGUCGUCAUACACACCUCCAACCUCAUCCGUGCUGACUGGCACCAGAAAACGCAAGGAAUAUGGUUGAGCCCCUUAUACCCACGAAUUGCCCCUGGAACCAACACAUCUGGAGAAUCAACAACACAUUUUAAAGCUGAUCUCGUCAGCUACUUGAUGGCUUAUAAUGCUCCUGCUCUCAAGGAGUGGAUAGACGUCAUCCAGGAGCACGAUCUCUCUGAAACAAACGUUUACCUCAUUGGAUCAACCCCGGGACGCUUUCAAGGAAGUCAGAAGGAUAAUUGGGGACAUUUUAGGCUUAGGAAGCUUCUGAAAGAACAUGCCUCGUCCAUACCCAAAGCAGAGUCUUGGCCAGUAGUCGGUCAGUUUUCAAGCAUUGGCUCCAUGGGGGCCGACGAAUCGAAAUGGUUGUGUUCUGAGUUUAAAGAGACCUUGGCGACGCUGGGGAGGGAAAGCAAGACCCCAGGGAAGAGCGCCGUGCCCCUUCAUUUGAUCUAUCCAUCUGUGGAAAAUGUGCGAACCAGCUUAGAAGGAUAUCCAGCUGGGGGCUCUCUUCCCUAUAGCAUCCAGACCGCUGAAAAACAGAAUUGGCUUCAUUCUUAUUUUCACAAAUGGUCAGCGGAGACGUCUGGCCGCAGCAAUGCCAUGCCGCAUAUUAAGACAUACAUGAGACCCUCUCCAGACUUCAGUCAAAUCGCAUGGUUCCUCGUCACAAGCGCGAAUCUGUCCAAGGCCGCCUGGGGAGCACUAGAGAAAAACGGCACCCAGCUGAUGAUCCGCUCCUACGAGCUCGGCGUCCUUUUCCUCCCUUCGGCGUUUAUCGGCCGUGGAUUUGGAACAUUCCCUACGUCAAAGCCCCAGAUACACACGGGAACAUGUGGGUUCCAUCGUGAGAGCCCGAAGCCCGGUGAAGCCGCCGUGCUGAGACCGCGAGCCCCAAACGGGGGGCGUUCUUGUCCGAACGGGGUGUUCACGUCCCUGAGUUUCGUCUGCGCCCCUGGGGAGCGCUUCGUCGGGGUCGCUCUUUUGAACAUGGAUAUUGGUUACAAUUGUUACCAUUUCUCACCGAUCCCCCCCCCCCAAAUUUUUUUAAGAUGUAUUUUCUUAAUUCCCUUGGCUGCGCUGUGCUUUGGGAUGAGGACUAUUAAACUUCACGAUGUCGAAAGAAUGCAGAGCCAUGAAACGCUCCUCACAGCGACGCGGAAUCUCAUGGUGGCGCCGGCCCUUCGGGAUUGAAGGCUGACUGUGCGCUGCGCUCCAUCGCGCCCCGUGCUCUUCGUUCAGCUGACACUUGUCAGAGGAAGAGUGUGACCGUUCGCUUCCUCGCCCAGCCUUCCCUCAGCUUGCCGAGCGUGUCUCGGGGGUCGCCGGACAUCAGUCUGCCGAUUCCUGGCGCCUGGCGCUGAGGCUGCUGUGGCCGCGGGUCAGAGCGGUGAGUCACGUGGCCCCUCGGCCCCGCAGCUGCACGUGGCUUCCCGUCCGCCCCGCACCCGUGCUGGCCGCCUCACUGCUCGCGCUGGGUCUCACCGGACCGAGCCACCUGCCGCUUCCUUCACCCGUUCCCCAGGCUGCGUGGGCGUCUCUCCCAUCCCCACAGAUUUCCAGAAAAGACAGCUCAGAGAAUCAGACAAAAGCACACAAGUAUUACAGUCGGAAGAAAUCCCGAAGGGUGACACAGUUUGGCACCUUCAAUUCACAAGGGAGGAUGAGGCCCAGAAAGGUUCAGGGUGUCGCCCAGGCCACACGGCUGGCUGGGGCCAGAGCUGUGAGUGUCCUUCUACCCGUGUCCUUCAUUCGGAGGGACCCAGCCCUCCCGAGGCCAUUUAGGCCCUCUUUGUUUUCUUUCGCAUGGAGUCGAUCUCCAGUUUGUCACCAGCCUCUUCAUCUUACAGCUUAGAAGAACCGAACGUUAAUUUGGAAAGAGUUUUUUAAAAUUGUUUUUCAGACUGUUCCUCGGAGGCCUAGACUUUUCAAAUUAAGAACUCAGAGGGGUGGGGAUGCUAUGACAGGAAGAGGCUGGGAAGACCCAGCGGAGGGCCCCCUCCCUCCCACCGCGGAGCCUCUGCUUCUCCUACUGUAUGUACAUGCUGAGAUUCUGUUUGGGAUACUAGCUGGGGUUUUUUUGUUUUUAUUUUUUGGUUUUUGUUUUUUUAGUGCUCUGCUUUUAAAAAAGUUGGGAAGCCACUGAAUUAGUUUAACCAGUUCAUUCCACAGUUUACAAAACAAAGGCUUAAGCCUUUUCUGACCCUGCCUUCUACUUCUUAAAACAUUCAAACCCUGCAUCCGAUGAGCCCAGAGACAACGGGCGGGCACCCUGGGCUGGCAAGAGAGACCAGUGUAGCAGUGGGGACAGCCCAGGGCAGGUACAGCCUGAGCUGGGUGUCCAAAGGACUGUGGCAGAGGACCUAAGAUUCUCACUAGCAUGGUAGUCCCAUCCUGGGUAGGGGCAGCAGGGGCAAAGUCACCAUGGCUACAAGCAGUCAGCUUGCUCUGGAGCAGGACCCAGAAAACCUGGGCUGCUGAAGGCCCAGCCAGUCAAGGCAGCAAUGGCAGACGGACAGCUGGUAGUCAUGGCUGAUACCAUGCGAGGUCUCACAGGUAUGUCGUUCAUCUGACCCACAUGACUGCAAAGGGACUUAGAGCUGAGAGCUGGAGUCAGGAUGCCAGCGUUUGAAUCCCAGCUCUGCUACUUACUGGCUGUGCAACCUAGACCAGGUUACUUAAAUUCUCUGUGCCUUGGUCUCCUCAACUGUAAAAUGGCCGGGGAGGGGGACAGGUGUAGUAAUACGCACUGCAGAGGGUUAUUGAGUGUCCAGUGAAUGACUACAUGAAAGUGCUUAGUCGGGCCUGCUCAGAGAACUGUACGGCGAUUGGUACUGUAGCUGUUACAGUUAAUUCAUUAGGAUUAUCUUCAUUUUCCCGAUCAGGAAACCUGGACCCGAACAAGGUGCUUGUCCAAGGUCAUACUUCUAGAAAGUGCAUCUGCCAGUAUUUGAACCCAGGUCUGGCAGCGUCCAGAAUCUGUUCUGUACUGCCAGGUGGCCCUAGCUCCCAGGCAGUGUGGUAGACGGGAUCUGAGGAGGUGGACCAUGUCCCCCAGUCUGUUGUAGACAGAUGCUUUUAUACGAUACGUCAGCCUUCUAUGAAAUAACAUUCAUAAGGUCCCACCAUGAGCGACGGAGCCAAGUCUUGUUUCUCUGGGUUCUUCUGUAGAAGCUGUACAGUUUUCCUUAGUGGAAAUUGUUAAUACUACAUGACUUCAAAUGAAUAUGGUUUGUGCAUCAGAUUCAGUAUGCUUAAAAUAAGGAUCUUAGGUUUGAUUUUGUCACUUUUUUUCCACAUGAAAUUAAAAAUUCACUUUCUAAGGAAAUAUCUCAUAUUAUUUCAUCCAUUAUGAAACCAUUUUGGAUGACCUAGGUGUUCAUUUGAUUCAGAUCUUAGGACAUUUGAAUUUUUCCCUCAUUACUAAAGAAGUAAGAGCCGUAACCCCCUCCUCGAGAAUACUUGCUUUUGACUGCUGAAUACCUCAAAGAAAAGGCUAGAUAUUCUUUAUUACAUUUAUAAAAUGUAGCAAUCGUAUUAAUGGAGAAAUGAUAUAAUGACAAAGUCUGAUGACAAAAGUCCAUCAAGAAUUCAAUGACUAGCAGAAAUAAAAUAGCUUAGCUAUUGUAUAGGAUUAAAUCUAAAAGUCUAUUGAUCAUGUGCCAACUACAUAUUAUACAUAGGUAAGAUCCCAUAAUGAUAAAAUCUUUGACAAGUUUUCCAAGUUUAGUAGCCCACUUACUCCAAGCAAUAUCAAGGACCAACAAAGGAGUACUACAAAUAAAACUACAAUUUUUUACUACAUUUCUAUUAACUAAUAAAUAUGUCUUAAGUAGCCUUGCUUAUAAUAGUAUCGACACACAAAAACAAAAGAUGAGGCAGAUCAGAUAAGGGGUUGUGUGCAGCUCUCUGUCCUUGGGAAACACCAGCAACACAUACAGCCAGGACAUAACGUGGAAUCUGGUGACCACCUCCGAGCACAUGCUCUGUUCCAGAUGGGAAAACUCAGAUAUUGGCCCAAUGUCACACAGCUGGCAAGUGGCAGAGCUGGGAUUUGAACCCAUGCAGCAAGUGUGGCGGAUGUUCCCAAGCCCCAGCCAAGGAGGAGGCCUUGUGUAUAAAAUAUGUAACUGUAGCUACAAAACCAGUGCCUUUUAACCACUAUAACAGCAAGUCAUGGCGUGACAGAACCAACUAGUGGCACACAAAAACCAACCACUCUGCAUGGCAUUAGCAUGCGAGACCGAGCCACUGAAUUACUAAAGCCAGAACCUGAGAGUGGAGCAGCUUCCUUUCCAAUGAGAACCUUGAGGGCUGAGCACUUUGCCAUGUUAAGUAUGUUCUAGUAAAUUCUCUGAAACCUGGUGUUUCCAUGGACUCCCUAGAUGUAAAGCACAGAGCAGAAGGAUCAGCCCUAGUGUCAGGAGAGGUGACACAGGAGAUGCUGGAGAGGGGGAAGGCAAGAGGCUGCCCAGGAAAUGGGGUGCUGGGAUAUGAAAUGGGGAGCGAGCAAAUAUGGGGCCAUAGCAUCGCAAGUCUGGGUAUGAUCUGUAGUCCAUAUCUAGCAAGUCCGUCUCAAAGCAGAAUCCAAUGGCCAUGUAGAAAUGAUAUUUAUUCCCCACCAGCAGCUCCACUGGACCUGCAGUCUGGCCAGUGUUAAUCAGUCUGAGGCACUUGGCUCAGUUUUCUGUUACCUCUGCAGGAAGGUUUUCAGAGAGCCCCAUUCCACUUUAUUAAGAACUGGAAGGCAUCUGGACCAGUUAGUUUAAUGAACGUGAAUAAGGGGAAGCACGGAAGGGAAUGGCAAAGGAGAAAUUGCAUCCAUAGGGAAUUUAUUAUGGGUUAUGAUCGCAGGUAACUAUACACAUCAUUACACCAUGGGGCAGGUGAUAGUAACCUCAUUUUAUAGAGGGGAAAAAUAAGGUUCAGGGUCACACAACUAAUAUAUAUCGCUUUCUGGCCCUGAGGACACAGAUGAUGCCACUAUAUGCUCUGGGUGGCUCUUUGCUCAUAGGUUCUUUAGAAAUUAACAUCGUGGUAGCUGAAUGCUGAUUCUGGGGGUGGGGGUGUGUGUGCGUAUGUUUCAGAUAAUUGACAUUACUAAAAUACAAAAGCCUGUAGAUAUAUAUUAUUCAAUCGUAUUUUAUCAAUAUUUUUAUGGAAGAAUAUAUCCAGAUGCUUUUAUAGUUACAGAAACCAGAUUAAUUAGGCUUAAGCAAUGAAAGAGACGUUAACGUUAAGUCCAGCAAAUGCUGGAGCCGGAGGAUCGCAAUGUACCUGGGCUGAUCUCCAAGUCUCAGCUCUGCUUUCUGGAAUACAGACGUCAUUCCCAAGCAAGCCCUGUCCACCUGGAGGCUGAAAUUCCCUGCCACACCAAUCCCCGGCAUCAGGGUCCCGUAUUACUUCCAGCUUGUCAUUCCAGAGAAAAAAUACUUUUUUCCCAGUAGCUCCGGCAAGUCCCUCGAUGCACCUGAUUGUCCAGCUUGAGCCACAUGUCCAUCCCUGAUGCAAGCAGUCGAGAUCACGGGACAGCCCCUCGUCAGGAGGGGCCGGGUGCGGAAUCUCCAAAGACAAGUGGGAAAACGCCUGAGGUUCAUUCUGCAGCAAGAAGCAUCUCUAGGUAAACUCUCAAUACUGUGCCACAUCCUUCAAUAAUGUGUACAGGCAUGCAGAUUUUAUUUAAAAGCAAAAGAAAACCAAGGACAUUUCAAAAUCCAAGUUUCACGAAAAGCUCCAUAAGUAAGUGAACCCUUGUACUCUGUUCUGGAAAAGAGACUUCAAACUGUGGGUCACAACCCUUCAGUGAAUCAUGAAAUAAAUUUAGGGGGUCGUGACCAGCACUUUUAAAUGAAAUAUAGAAAAUGUCUGUGUGUAACACAAAGUGAGGUCAUUUUUGUUUCAAUUUAUAUGAGCGUGUUCAGGGUUACAGUAUGAAAUGUAUGCCUUCCCAGGUUUGCUAGUUCAGCUACCCUAAAUGAAGACAAGUGGUCACUUGGGUAACUGCUAGAGAUUUGACUAAAGCCGGAGAGGUGACUCAGCUCCAAGGGACUCGGGACUCAGAGCUGUCAAGUCCCAGAUCUGUGCCCUCCGCACUGAGACCUCAGGCAAGUCAUUUGAUGCUUCUGAGUCUUCAUUUUCUCCCCUGUUAAGUGAGGCUACUACUUAUCCUUCCUGUCUCAAUGGCUUGAUGUAAGAAUCAAACGAAAUGGUGCUCAUGAGCACUGGGAAGCACUACAUAAUUGUACAUUGCAAUGAUUCUUAUUCUAGGUAAAUGAAAGUGCCUGGAGCUGGUGGUCUCUCUCCGCGGCACUUAGAGAAUUCAAGUGUAGAAGAUAAACCCCAUGCCUUUGGAAAAGUGAGCGUUUUCUCACAAGUUUGGCUUCCACACUACUAACUGCAGGUUCUUUUCAGAAGACGGGGGUAGAUUUACGAGUCCUGGCUGCAGCACAGUGGCCUCAACUCCACAGGAAGGGGCUGUGUUCACAGGGACGUCUUCAGCUUGGGCCCAGUCUCUGAAACGCCCUGAACGACUGCACAGCUGACCUGCAUGCCUCCCACCCCGGAAGUACUGGAUCCAUGCUGCCUGCCGCUUCCAGGAGAGAGGGGGUCCUCAUGGUGGUUGAGUGGGACUGGGGAGUCCGUGUUCAUGUGAACCCCAGGGGUGAGUGGACACUUCACCCCUGGAAGGAAGUCCAUUUUACAAAUGAAGAAACGGGCUCCAAGAGGCAUGCGAAACCUACCGCAUGUUGCGUUCUUCUUGAAGAUCAUGAGAGCAAGCACCUGCUCCCAGAACUCCUCUGAUACCGUAACGGGCUCAGGAAACGAGCAUCUUUAUUGUGCUUGGACUAGCAGAAUCUGGACCAUGGGGUCUCAAUGAGCCACUUAACAUCAUUCUAGAAACAACUUUAAAACACUUCUGAAGAGCCCAGCCCAAGCUUUGGUCCCACACACUCCACGUGUCCAUUCCUUUCUCCUCUGGCACUCGAAGACACACUUGGCAGUGGCUAGUCUCUCCCCCGGUCUCUAAUUCCUGUUCUUGGAGCCGUACCCUGGCUCUUGACCAAAGCAGAACUGGGAAGCCUUAAAAAUAAGGCACGGGGAGAGGGGACUGGCUGCAUGAAGGAACUUUUGGGGCGAUGGUAAUAUUCCUAUCAUGAUUGUGGCAUUGGUUACUUUUUAUGAAACUCUUUGAAUUAUAGUCACCAAAUUGGUAACUUUUAUUAUAUGUAAAUUAUAUUAAGUCCUCACUUAACGCCGUUAAUAGGUUCUGGGACUUAAAGCAAAACGAUGUAUAACAAAAGCAAUUUUAUCAUAGGUUAAUUGAUAAAAACAGGAGUAAAGUUCCUGUGGCAUCUCAUUAACAUUCAAACAAAAUGGUGUUAUUUGAGGAUCUGCUGUAUAUAUUGCUCAAUAAAGCUGAUUUUUUUUAAAUGUA